rnacentral:rRNA from 1 species
CAGCAGCCGCGGUAAUACCGGCGGCCCGAGUGGCGGUCACUAUUAUUGGGCUUAAAGCGUCCGUAGCCGGGUUGGGAAGUCCUCCGGGAAAUCUGGCCGCUUAACGGUCAGAAUGCCGGAGGAUACUCCCAGCCUAGGGAGCGGGAGAGGCCGAGGGGAUUCCCGGGGUAGGGGUGAAAUCCUAUAAUCCCGGGAGGGCCACCUGUGGCGAAGGCGCUCGGCUGGAACGCGGCCGACGGUGAGGGACGAAGGCCAGGGGAGCAAACCGGAUUAGAUACCCGGGUAGUCCUGGCUGUAAACGAUGCGGACUUUGUGUCGGACAAGCUAUGAGCUUGUCCGGUGCCGGAGGGAAACCGUUAAGUCCGCCGCCUGGGGAGUACGGCCGCAAGGCUGAAACUUAAAGGAAUUGGCGGG